GCUGGUCCCAGGCGGCAUCACCAGGCUUCUCUCAUCUGGCAGGCAGAUCAAGGGAGGACUCCGGUACAGCCCUGGCAGCCCUCCCGGAGGUGUAGGCAAGACCCUGACCUGCUUGCCGGCUGCAUUUUGUUUCCCAAUAAUAACCUAUGGGCGAAACAUCUAAACAGCAAAACAGUUUUACAAAACGAAAUGGAACAGUGCUUUUGAAACAAAAUGAAACUGUUUUGUCGAAUCAUCAAAACGGAAGUCAAAUCAGAAGUGUGCUUUUUCACACAGCCCUACUGCACAGAGCUCUGGAGCACAGGGCAGCACUGACAAGACACCAGGUCUGGCCCUGGCAUAGGCUGCUGGUUACUCCCUCCACCUCCUCUGCUCUGACAAGCCUGGGCUGGGCUGCCUCAGAGAGAGCCGCAUUCUCUGGGCAUCUCCAGCCUGGUCAGCCCACGUGCUACCCACGUGCCCUCCUGGGCUGGGGCUGCCAACGAGCCUCUGGCAACAUGCUGCCGUUCUAAUCCUGGGGUAUGUGAGAGAGAGCCUGCGUCCUGGCUUGGGUACGCGCUGCAAGGCAUUUCCUGUUUGCGACUCCCUCUCUCUGACAAAUGAGCAGCAGGCAGCUGCUCUGUGGGUCAGUGCCCUGGGACAGUGGGAGGAACGGCCUGCUUGCACAGUGAUGUCAGGCCAAGCCAGAGGAAAAGGUUGUUACUGGAGCCAGGAGCUGGGGCUGGCGCUGAGGAAAUGUGAGGGCCUUGUUGUUGCAUAGCACCAGGGAGGGCUCCAGUUUGACUGAUGGCUGGGUGUGACAGCCUGGGGGAAGUACGGUGGAAGAUGGAUGCGAGGAAAGCCAGGAAAAGGAGACAAACUUAUCUUGGAACAGGAGGAUGCUCAGAGCCAGACACCCUAGCUAGAGACGCUGCCUCAGGCUGGAGGAGUUUUGCUUGAUGGCUGUUAAAGGUAGACGUGUGCAGACCAACAGGCUAUUGGUGAGGACCAGAUCCUGAUACCUGGAUUCUAACACUUGCCCGAGUACCUGUUGCAAAGACCACAGACACAGAGUUAAGUCCACCCAAAUGACUGCAUCUCUGGGCAGUUUGUUUGAAGACACCUGAAAUACUGCUCAAUGUUGCCUUUGCUGUUCUGUACUAAUAUGGAAGAGACAUGGGAAGCCAUGAUCCAAACACUUCAGUGCCUUGAGAGGAAUUUUAUCCAUGGUCAUUGGAAGUGCUGGGGGAGGGGCCAGAGGCCAGGAAAUACAGGCUUAAAAAAAUAUGUUCGAUUUUAGAUUCAAUGUUUGAAGAGACGUUCAUGCAACACUUGCUCUUUCCUGAAGUUCACGAGUAGCCAGUCAGCCAUUCACCUGGAGUUGGGUAGGAAGGGUGCACAACAUGCAGAAGGGUAAAAUACAGACCACAAUAUACAAGAAACCCA